GAACNCUAGCGGCGUGNCUAACACAUGCAAGUCGAACGAACUCUGGUAUUGAUUGGUGCUUGCAUCAUGACUUACAUUUGAGUGAGUGGCGAACUGGUGAGUAACACGUGGGAAACCUGCCCAGAAGCGGGGGAUAACACCUGGAAACAGAUGCUAAUACCGCAUAACAACUUGGACCCUAUGGUCCCAGUUUGGAAGAUGGUUUCGGCUAUCACNUUUGGAUGGUCCCGCGGCGUAUUAGCUAGAUGGUGGGGUAACGGCUCACCAUGUCAAUGAUACGUAGCCGACCUGAGAGGGUAAUCGUCCACAUUGGGACUGAGACACGGCCCAAACUCCUACGGGAGGCAGUAGUAGGGAAUCUCCCACAAUGGNCGAAAGUCUGAUGGAGCAACGCCGCGUGANUGAAGAAGGGUUUCGCCUCGUAAUACUCUGUUGCUACAGAAGAACAUNUCUGAGAGUACCUGCUCAGGUAUUGACGGCUAUUAACCAGAAAGCCACCGUUAACUACGUUCCAGNAGCCGCGGUAAUACGUAGGUGGCAAGCGUUGUCCGGCUUUAUUGGGCGUAAAGCGAGCGCAGGCGGUUUUUUAAGUCUGAUGUGAAAGCCUUCGGCUCAACCGAAGAAGUGCAUCGGAAACUGGGAAACUUGAGUGCAGAAGAGGACAGUGGAACUCCAUGUGUAGCGGUGAAAUGCGUAGAUAUAUGGAAGNACACCAGUGGCGAAGGCGGNUGUCUGGUCUGUAACUGACGCUGAGGCUCGAAAGUAUGGGUAGCAAACAGGAUUAGAUACCCUGGUAGUCCAUACCGUAAACGAUGAAUGCUAAGUGUUGGAGGGUUUCCGCCCUUCAGUGCUGCAGCUAACGCAUUACGCAUUCCNUCUGGGGAGUACGGCCCCAAGGCUGAAACUCAAAGGNAUUGACGGGGCCCGCACAAGCGGUGGAGNAUGUGGUUUAAUCCGAGCUACGCGAAGAUCCUUACCAGGUCUUGACAUACUAUGCAAAUCUAAGAGAUUAGUNGUNCCCUUCGGGGACAUGGAUACAGGUGGUGCAUGGUUGUCGNCAGCUCGUGCCGUGAGAUGUNGGCUUAUGUCCCGCAUCGAGCGCANCCCUUAUUAUCAGUUGCCAGCAUUAAGUUGGCCACUCUGGUGAGACUGCCGGUGACAAACCGGAGGAAGGUGGGGAUGACGUCAAAUCAUCAUGCCCCUUAUGACCUGGGCUACACACGUGCUACAAUGGAUGGUACAACGAGUUGCGAACUCGCGAGAGUAAGCUAAUCUCUUAAAGCCAUUCUCAGUUCGGAUUGUAGGCUGCAACUCGCCUACAUGAAGUCGGAAUCGCUAGUAAUCGCGGAUCAGCAUGCCGCGGUGAAUACGUCCCCGGGCCUUGUACACACCGCCCGUCACACCAUGAGAGUUUGUAACACCC
rnacentral:rRNA from 2 species